CCCUCCCCAGGACUUAGAGUGACAUCACUGGAACCAGAGAAGGCAAAACAUCAGACGCUACCAGGUGGCUGGGAGGAGUUGUAAGCCACUUCUAGCAGCGUUUUAAAAAUAACUGCAAAGGAAUGACUGAGUGAGGAAGAGCCACAGCAACACACAUUACCUGAAUCAGUGAGAUCUAAGGGAAAGGAUGAGCAGCCACAUCUCAAGUGAUAGUUCUCAAACCUUGAUUGUACAUUAGGAUGGCUGGGCACUUUUAAAAAUCCUGAUUCUCAGGCCUCUGCCCAGCCCAAUUAAGUCAUAAUCUUUGAGAGUGGAUUCUGGCAUCAGUAUUUUUGAAGCUCUCUAGGUGAUUCCAACGCACCUGACUAAUGGAAUUAAAAAUAACUACAAUGAGUAUUCGUCAGGCACAAAGAAUUAUAGAAAAUGGACUCGACAGGUGCCAGAAGUCUUGGAAGGAGAAAAAAAUCUCUAGAAGUCUCAGGAGUCACUGCAAAUGGUCUGGGCAGCUGGGACUGAUGUGGCUUUAAAUUCCUGGCUGGGAGAAGAUGUAAUUGGGUUGCUCCACCAUUGAGGUAUUGCUUCCAAGAUUGUUUGCUUCAUUAUAAUUCACUUCUGUUAAGGUUUUUUAAAUUGAGAUUUUUCUUAUAGAAAUCUCUUAUGUUUUACUGCUUCGAUGAUGAGCGGAGAUUAGCUUUGCAUUUGCAAAAUUAAAUUACUUUCCCAAAGUAUUUCUUAAUUUUCAUGCAGAUGCCACGGAAAAUUCCAAGAGAGAGAAAAGUUGUUAGCUGCACUUUAAAUACCAGAAAGUCUCUGUGUGGGAAGGAGAGGGGAAGAGGGUGAAAUUACUUUUAUUUUAAAAUGGAACAUGGGGGUAUUCAUUCUGCAGAAUACACAUCUGGAGAAUAAGUACCUGAGGGGAAGACACUUUCAUAGUUCAGAUUUUGAGCAUUUUUAGUAUCAAACGUUUGGAUCAAUAUCAUCUACCAAGGAAAAACAAAAGGAAUUAAAAAUGAAGUGUAAUCAGCCCCUGUACCAUGAGAACAGAAUCCUGGGCCCAUCUCAAUGAGAUACCCCCACAGUGGUAUACAUGAGUUGAGAUCUAUCACAAUCGUACCUCUCUGGUGUCCUUCUGAUUCCUCACCCCCUUCCCAUCUCUCAAACAGCAGAGUCCAGGAAUUCCAUAAUGUUUCACCUUAAUAUACUUUUGUUGACGAGGAGAGUAAUCUCCCAGUUCCCUCUUAGGUUCAGUACCUGCAACCGGUGAAUUAAAUUGAUGAAUGAAAUGCUGAACAGAUAGAAGGCCUAUUUGUGUGCGCAUAAAAGCCAACAA
rnacentral:lncRNA from 12 species